UACGUAGGGUGCAAGCGUUGUCCGGAAUUAUUGGGCGUAAAGAGCUCGUAGGCGGUUUGUCGCGUCGAAUGUGAAAACCCGGGGCUCAACCCCGGGCCUGCAUUCGAUACGGGCAGACUAGAGUUCGGUAGGGGAGUCUGGAAUUCCUGGUGUAGCGGUGAAAUGCGCAGAUAUCAGGAGGAACACCGGUGGCGAAGGCGGGACUCUGGGCCGAUACUGACGCUGCGGAGCGAAAGCGUGGGGAGCAAACAGG
rnacentral:rRNA from 1 species